rnacentral:rRNA from 1 species
GACGAACGCUGGCGGCGUGCUUAACACAUGCAAGUCGAACGGUGAAGCGAGUGCUUGCACUCGUGGAUCAGUGGCGAACGGGUGAGUAACACGUGAGUAACCUGCCCAUCACUCUGGGAUAAGCACUGGAAACGGUGUCUAAUACUGGAUACGACCAACCCUUGCAUGGGGUGUUGGUGGAAAGAUUUAUCGGUGAUGGAUGGACUCGCGGCCUAUCAGCUUGUUGGCGGGGUAAUGGCCCACCAAGGCGACGACGGGUAGCCGGCCUGAGAGGGUGACCGGCCACACUGGGACUGAGACACGGCCCAGACUCCUACGGGAGGCAGCAGUGGGGAAUAUUGCACAAUGGGCGAAAGCCUGAUGCAGCGACGCCGCGUGAGGGAUGACGGCCUUCGGGUUGUAAACCUCUUUCAGCAGGGAAGAAGCGAAAGUGACGGUACCCGCAGAAGAAGCACCGGCUAACUACGUG